GCGCCGCCGCCGCCGCCGCUGCCGCCGUCACUGCCCUCUUCGGAGGCGCGGGCCCGGCGGAAACCAUGUUUGUACCGCGUAGCAUCGCGGCCGACCACAAGGAUCUCAUCCACGAUGUCUCUUUCGAUUUCCACGGGAGGCGGAUGGCUACCUGCUCCAGCGAUCAGAGCGUUAAGGUCUGGGAUAAAAGUGAAAGUGGUGAUUGGCAUUGUACUGCUAGCUGGAAGACACAUAGUGGAUCUGUAUGGAGUGUAACAUGGGCCCAUCCUGAAUUUGGACAGGUGUUGGCUUCUUGUUCAUUUGACCGAACAGCUGCUGUAUGGGAAGAAAUAGUAGGAGAAUCAAAUGAUAAACUGCGAGGACAGAGCCACUGGGUUAAAAGGACAACUCUGGUGGAUAGCAGAACAUCUGUUACUGAUGUGAAGUUUGCUCCCAAGCACAUGGGUCUUAUGUUAGCAACCUGUUCAGCGGAUGGUAUAGUAAGAAUAUAUGAGGCACCAGAUGUUAUGAAUCUCAGCCAGUGGUCUUUGCAGCAUGAGAUCUCAUGUAAGCUAAGCUGUAGUUGUAUUUCUUGGAACCCUUCAAGCUCUCGUGCUCAUUCCCCCAUGAUCGCUGUAGGAAGCGAUGACAGUAGCCCCAAUGCAAUGGCCAAGGUUCAGAUUUUUGAAUAUAAUGAAAACACCAGGAAAUACGCAAAAGCUGAAACUCUUAUGACAGUCACUGAUCCUGUUCAUGAUAUUGCAUUUGCUCCAAACUUGGGAAGAUCUUUCCAUAUUCUAGCAAUAGCAACCAAAGAUGUGAGAAUUUUUACAUUAAAGCCUGUGAGGAAAGAACUGACUUCCUCUGGUGGGCCAACAAAAUUCGAACUCCAUAUAGUGGCUCAGUUUGAUAAUCAUAAUUCUCAGGUCUGGCGAGUGAGUUGGAAUAUAACAGGAAUAGUGCUAGCAUCUUCAGGAGAUGAUGGCUGUGUAAGAUUGUGGAAAGCUAAUUAUAUGGACAAUUGGAAGUGUACUGGUAUUUUGAAAGGUAAUGGGAGCCCAGUCAAUGGGAGUUCUCAGCAGGGAAACUCAAAUCCUUCCCUAGGUUCAAAUAUUCCAAGUCUUCAGAAUUCAUUAAAUGGAUCUUCUGCUGGCAGAAAGCACAACUGAGUACAAGCUAACUGGAGUAACUUUGCUGUUUUGCUGCUUGUUGCAUGCACACAGGAAUGGAAAGCGAGCUCCUUUUCCCCUUCCCCAGCGCCAUUUUGACCUCUCCCAAGAUACACCAGCAGCCUGCUUACUACUAAACAACCCAAAAGGCCUUUAAAAAUACAGUGUAUAUUUUUUCGUACUAGUCAGUUUGUUGACACUAUUUGAAACUUUUGAAAUAUAAAUGAAGAGGCUUUCUGUUGAGAUGUUGUCACCAAAACAAUUUUUUGAAAUGUUCCUCAAACUAACUUGGGUUUAAAGAUUAAAAGGGUUGUUAACCUUCUUAUAUAAGUAGUUGAGAGGAGGGGAAAUAUCACUUUAAUUUUUUGGGAAAAUAUAGACAUAUUUCUUUUGCUUUCUUAAAACAGCUUAAAAUGAACUUUUAUAAUUUUAAUUUGAAGAUUAAAUAUUUUUCAUUAA